AGAGCGAAUGGUGGAUGCCUUGACUGGUAAAGGCGAUGAAGGACGUACUAGACUGCGAUAAGCUACGGGGAGCUGUCAAGAAGCUUUGAUCCGUAGAUUUCCGAAUGGGGCAACCCAAUGUAUAGAGAUAUACAUUACCUAUAUAGGAGCGAACGAGGGGAAUUGAAACAUCUUAGUACCCUCAGGAAAAGAAAUCAAUAGAGAUUGCGUCAGUAGCGGCGAGCGAAAGCGCAAGAGGGCAAACCCAGUGCUUGCACUGGGGGUUGUAGGACUGCAAUGUGCAAGAGGUGAGUUUAGCAGAACAUUCUGGAAAGUAUAGCCAUAGAGGGUGAUAGUCCCGUAUGCGAAAAACAAACCUUAGCUAGCAGUAUCCUGAGUAGGGCGGGACACGAGAAAUCCUGUCUGAAGCCGGGUCGACCACGAUCCAACCCUAAAUACUAAUACCAGAUCGAUAGUGCACAAGUACCGUGAGGGAAAGGUGAAAAGAACUGAGGUGAUCAGAGUGAAAUAGAACCUGAAACCAUUUGCUUACAAUCAUUCAGAGCACUAUGUAGUAAUACAGUGUGAUGGACUGCCUUUUGCAUAAUGAGCCUGCGAGUUGUGGUGUCUGGCAAGGUUAAGCAAACGCGAAGCCGUAGCGAAAGCGAGUCUGAAUAGGGCGCUUAGUCAGAUGCUGCAGACCCGAAACGAAGUGAUCUAUCCAUGAGCAAGUUGAAGCUAGUGUAAGAACUAGUGGAGGACUGAACCCAUAGGCGUUGAAAAGCCCCGGGAUGACUUGUGGAUAGGGGUGAAAGGCCAAUCAAACUUCGUGAUAGCUGGUUCUCUCCGAAAUAUAUUUAGGUAUAGCGUUGUGUCGUAAUAUAAGGGGGUAGAGCACUGAAUGGGCUAGGGCAUACACCAAUGUACCAAACCCUAUCAAACUCCGAAUACCUUAUAUGUAAUCACAGCAGUCAGGCGGCGAGUGAUAAAAUCCGUCGUCAAGAGGGAAACAACCCAGACUACCAGCUAAGGUCCCUAAAUCUUACUUAAGUGGAAAACGAUGUGAAGUUACUUAAACAACCAGGAGGUUGGCUUAGAAGCAGCCAUCCUUUAAAGAAAGCGUAAUAGCUCACUGGUCUAGUGAUUUUGCGCGGAAAAUAUAACGGGGCUAAAGUAAGUACCGAAGCUGUAGACUUGACUUUGUCAAGUGGUAGGAGAGCGUUCUAUUUGCGUCGAAGGUAUACCGGUAAGGAGUGCUGGAGCGAAUAGAAGUGAGCAUGCAGGCAUGAGUAGCGAUAAUUAAUGUGAGAAUCAUUAACGCCGUAAACCCAAGGUUUCCUACGCGAUGCUCGUCAUCGUAGGGUUAGUCGGGUCCUAAGUCGAGUCCGAAAGGGGUAGACGAUGGCAAAUUGGUUAAUAUUCCAAUACCAACAUUAGUGUGCGAUGGAAGGACGCUUAGGGCUAAGGGGGCUAGCGGAUGGAAGUGCUAGUCUAAGGUCGUAGGUGCUUAUACAGGCAAAUCCGUAUAAGAAUACACCGAGAACUGAAAGGCUUUUUGAAGUCUUCGGAUGGAUAGAAGAACCCCUGAUGCCGUCGAGCCAAGAAAAGUUUCUAAGUUUAGCUAAUGUUGCCCGUACCGUAAACCGACACAGGUGGGUGGGAUGAGUAUUCUAAGGCGCGUGGAAGAACUCUCUUUAAGGAACUCUGCAAAAUAGCACCGUAUCUUCGGUAUAAGGUGUGGUUCGCUUCGUAUUAGGAUUUACUCCGAAAGCGAAGAAACUUACAACAAAGAGUCCCUCCCGACUGUUUACCAAAAACACAGCACUCUGCUAACUCGUAAGAGGAUGUAUAGGGUGUGACGCCUGCCCGGUGCUCGAAGGUUAAUUGAUGGGGUUAGCAUUAGCGAAGCUCUUGAUCGAAGCCCGAGUAAACGGCGGCCGUAACUAUAACGGUCCUAAGGUAGCGAAAUUCCUUGUCGGUUAAAUACCGACCUGCAUGAAUGGCGUAACGAGAUGGGAGCUGUCUCAAAGAGGGAUCCAGUGAAAUUGUAGUGGAGGUGAAAAUUCCUCCUACCCGCGGCAAGACGGAAAGACCCCGUGGACCUUUACUACAGCUUGACACUGCUACUUGGAUAAGAAUGUGCAGGAUAGGUGGGAGGCUUUGAGUAUAUGACGCCAGUUGUAUAUGAGCCAUUGUUGAGAUACCACUCUUUCUUAUUUGGGUAGCUAACCAGCUUGAGUUAUCCUCAAGUGGGACAAUGUCUGGUGGGUAGUUUGACUGGGGCGGUCGCCUCCCAAAUAAUAACGGAGGCUUACAAAGGUUGGCUCAGAACGGUUGGAAAUCGUUCGUAGAGUAUAAAGGUAUAAGCCAGCUUAACUGCAAGACAUACAAGUCAAGCAGAGACGAAAGUCGGUCUUAGUGAUCCGGUGGUUCUGUGUGGAAGGGCCAUCGCUCAAAGGAUAAAAGGUACCCCGGGGAUAACAGGCUGAUCUCCCCCAAGAGCUCACAUCGACGGGGAGGUUUGGCACCUCGAUGUCGGCUCAUCGCAUCCUGGGGCUGGAGCAGGUCCCAAGGGUAUGGCUGUUCGCCAUUUAAAGCGGUACGCGAGCUGGGUUCAGAACGUCGUGAGACAGUUCGGUCCCUAUCUGCCGUGGGCGUAAGAAGAUUGAAGAGAUUUGACCCUAGUACGAGAGGACCGGGUUGAACAAACCACUGGUGUAGCUGUUGUUCUGCCAAGAGCAUCGCAGCGUAGCUAAGUUUGGAAAGGAUAAACGCUGAAAGCAUCUAAGCGUGAAGCCAACUCUAAGAUGAAUCUUCUCUAAGCUCUCUAGAAGACUACUAGUUUGAUAGGCUGGGUGUGUAAUGGAUGAAAGUCCUUUAGCUGACCAGUACUAAUAGAGCGUUUGGCUUAUCU
rnacentral:rRNA from 2 species